rnacentral:rRNA from 1 species
UACGUAGGGUGCGAGCGUUGUCCGGAAUUAUUGGGCGUAAAGAGCUCGUAGGCGGUUUGUCACGUCUGCUGUGAAAUCCCGAGGCUCAACCUCAGGCCUGCAGUGGGUACGGGCAGACUGGAGUGCGGUAGGGGAGAAUGGAAUUCCUGGUGUAGCAGUGAAAUGCGCAGAUAUCAGGAGGAACACCGGUGGCGAAGGCGGGUCUCUGGGCCGUAACUGACGCUGAGGAGCGAAAGCAUGGGGAGCGAACAGG